AGGCUAUGAGCUUAAACCCCUGUUCCAAAAUAGAAACAUUAGAAUAUCUCGGGUCAUCCGUUCAUGCAUUGCCUCCUAUUCAAAUGAUUGUGGGGACACAAACAAACCCUGUGCCUUCGAAACCACACGCUCCGCCUCUUCGUCAAUCCAGACAAAUUCUACGACUUGAGCUAGAGCUUUUAAGCCGUAAUUGAGCACAGGGUGCCCAGGAAUACCAAAGGCACAGACCUGAGUUUUUAUAGCUCCCAUAGUAUUAUACUGCGUUUUUUUCUCUCGGCCAGACACCAUCAAACCGACCAGGCGUGAUAGGAAGUCGCCACCUACACGGACAAAAUCAGGAGCCGAAGCAGUCCAGCGACAAAAAGAAAACCAGACUUUCUAAAACUUAACAAAGACAGGUGACAGAAAUGUGAGGAGAGGGCGACGGCGACGACAGAGGACCCGAGGAGGGACCACAAGGAAAAACAGAGCCCAUAGUGGGAACCCUAUUCAACUCCCUGGUCAAUGGGAGGACGUGUCUUUAGCCUUACUAUAUAUUGCAUCAAUUCAAGGGAAACGACUGACAUCAGUCUCGCAUUGAACUACCAAUGACAGAGUGACACAAAACGAGUAAAAUUACCUCAGCGACGGAAUGGACAACCGCAACAACUAACCGUGUGUUGCAUGGAAUAUGGAUUAUAAUCAUUCCCGGUGUAGCUAAACAUUGGCGAGAAAAUAAUUUCAUAAUGCAAAAGACACAUUUCAAAAAAUUUCACCAGGACCUUUGACUUGUGUACAUCAUGUUGCAAUGGCUAUAGCUUAAUAAAUUGUGAAACAAAA